UUAAAUUGAAGAGUUUGAUCAUGGCUCAGAUUGAACGCUGGCGGCAGGCCUAACACAUGCAAGUCGGACGGUAGCACAGAGAGCUUGCUCUCGGGUGACGAGUGGCGGACGGGU
rnacentral:rRNA from 1 species